UAGCCGUAAACGAUACUCGCUAGGUGUCGGCCACGGUGCGACCGUUGUCGGUGCCGUAGGGAAGCCGUGAAGCGAGCCACCUGGGAGGUACGGCCGCAAGGCUGAAACUUAAAGGAAUUGGCGGGGGAGCACCACAACGGGUGGAGCUUGCGGUUUAAUUGGAUUCAACGCCGGAAAUCUUACCGGGACCGACAGCAACAUGAAGGCCAAGCUGAAGACUUUGCCGGAUUAGCUGAGAGGAGGUGCAUGGCGUAGUCGUGU
rnacentral:rRNA from 1 species